UGGCUCAGAGGUUAAAGCGUCUGCCUCCAAUGCAGGAGAUCCAGGUUCUAUCCCUGG
rnacentral:tRNA from 1 species